UGCCAUCUCUCAAGACUAAAUAUUCUCAUUAUAGGAAUCAAUCCUGUGGCAGGUUCCAAGGACACAUGGGACUUUGAGAAAAAAAAAAAAAAGUAGACUUCACUUAAUUCCCAGCUCUGGCUGUUACCAACAGUUUGAUCUAAAGCAGGCUGCCUCGACUCGCUGAAGAAUGGCAGCAAAGAUUAAAACAAGCUAUCAAAUAAUUUUUACUUUCUCAUCGAGGAUUAUUCAGCGAUUCGCAGAGCAACACGGUCAAGAUCAGGCUUGCUUUCCUCAAGUGUCGCCCUCAUGCUACCUGACUUAUCCCUUAUAAAAUACCCUAGGCCAAUUACACAUACGCAACAUCAGGACCACCAUAAAACUCAGCAAAAGCACAGUUCACACUCCCAAACUCCUCCACAGCAACCGGGAUAUGAGAAAAGCAGGGAUCCCCUUGGAAGGAGCAAAACCACAGAAAAUGGAGAAACCUGAG